GAUGAACGCUGGCGGCGUGCCUAAUACAUGCAAGUCGAGCGAACGGACGAGAAGCUUGCUUUUCUGAUGUUAGCGGCGGACGGGUGAGUAACACGUGGAUAACCUACCUAUAAGACUGGGAUAACUUCGGGAAACCGGAGCUAAUACCGGAUAAUAUUUUGAACCGCAUGGUUCAAAAGUGAAAGACGGUCUUGCUGUCACUUAUAGAUGGAUCCGCGCUGCAUUAGCUAGUUGGUAAGGUAACGGCUUACCAAGGCAACGAUGCAUAGCCGACCUGAGAGGGUGAUCGGCCACACUGGAACUGAGACACGGUCCAGACUCCUACGGGAGGCAGCAGUAGGGAAUCUUCCGCAAUGGGCGAAAGCCUGACGGAGCAACGCCGCGUGAGUGAUGAAGGUCUUCGGAUCGUAAAACUCUGUUAUUAGGGAAGAACAUAUGUGUAAGUAACUGUGCACAUCUUGACGGUACCUAAUCAGAAAGCCACGGCUAACUACGUGCCAGCAGCCGCGGUAAUACGUAGGUGGCAAGCGUUAUCCGGGAUUAUUGGGCGUAAAGCGCGCGUAGGCGGUUUUUUAAGUCUGAUGUGAAAGCCCACGGCUCAACCGUGGAGGGUCAUUGGAAACUGGAAAACUUGAGUGCAGAAGAGGAAAGUGGAAUUCCAUGUGUAGCGGUGAAAUGCGCAGAGAUAUGGAGGAACACCAGUGGCGAAGGCGACUUUCUGGUCUGUAACUGACGCUGAUGUGCGAAAGCGUGGGGAUCAAACAGGAUUAGAUACCCUGGUAGUCCACGCCGUAAACGAUGAGUGCUAAGUGUUAGGGGGUUUCCGCCCCUUAGUGCUGCAGCUAACGCAUUAAGCACUCCGCCUGGGGAGUACGACCGCAAGGUUGAAACUCAAAGGAAUUGACGGGGACCCGCACAAGCGGUGGAGCAUGUGGUUUAAUUCGAAGCAACGCGAAGAACCUUACCAAAUCUUGACAUCCUUUGACAACUCUAGAGAUAGAGCCUUCCCCUUCGGGGGACAAAGUGACAGGUGGUGCAUGGUUGUCGUCAGCUCGUGUCGUGAGAUGUUGGGUUAAGUCCCGCAACGAGCGCAACCCUUAAGCUUAGUUGCCAUCAUUAAGUUGGGCACUCUAAGUUGACUGCCGGUGACAAACCGGAGGAAGGUGGGGAUGACGUCAAAUCAUCAUGCCCCUUAUGAUUUGGGCUACACACGUGCUACAAUGGACAAUACAAAGGGCAGCGAAACCGCGAGGUCAAGCAAAUCCCAUAAAGUUGUUCUCAGUUCGGAUUGUAGUCUGCAACUCGACUACAUGAAGCUGGAAUCGCUAGUAAUCGUAGAUCAGCAUGCUACGGUGAAUACGUUCCCGGGUCU
rnacentral:rRNA from 1 species